UAUAUUUAAGUGUUAGAUGCACAGGGAACUUUGAAUUCCCAGGCUAUGGUUUAAUUCCAUAAAGUAUAA
rnacentral:tRNA from 1 species